rnacentral:rRNA from 1 species
AUACGGAGGGGGUUAGCGUUGUUCGGAAUUACGGGGCGUAAAGCGCACGUAGGCGGAUUAAAAAGUUAGAGGUGAAAUCCCAGGGCUCAACCCUGGAACUGCCUUUAAAACUAGUAGUCUAGAGUUCGAGAGAGGUGAGUGGAAUUCCAAGUGUAGAGGUGAAAUUCGUAGAUAUUUGGAGGAACACCAGUGGCGAAGGCGGCUCACUGGCUCGAUACUGACGCUGAGGUGCGAAAGCGUGGGGAGCAAACAGGAUUAGAAACCCCAGUAGUCC